rnacentral:rRNA from 1 species
UGGGGAAUCUUGCGCAAUGCGCGAAAGCGUGACGCAGCAACGCCGCGUGGGGGAAGAAGGCCUUCGGGUUGUAAACCCCUUUCAGUUGGGACGAAGCUUCGCCGGUGAAUAGCCGGCUGGAGUGACGGUACCUUCAGAAGAAGCCCCGGCUAACUACGUGCCAGCAGCCGCGGUAAUACGUAGGGGGCAAGCGUUGUCCGGAAUCAUUGGGCGUAAAGAGCGUGUAGGCGGCUCGGUAAGUCCGCUCUGAAAGCCCGGGGCUCAACCCCGGGAGGCGGGCGGAUACUGUCGGGCUAGAGUCCGGAAGAGGCGAGUGGAAUUCCUGGUGUAGCGGUGAAAUGCGCAGAUAUCAGGAGGAACACCAAUGGCGAAGGCAGCUCGCUGGGACGGUACUGACGCUGAGACGCGAAAGCGUGGGGAGCAAACA